GCAGGUGGAGGGGCUCCAGCCCAGGCAGCAGCCAGGGAUCCAGAUUAGAAAAGACCAGAGCUAGGGGGUGACUCGGGCAGGGUUGGUGCAAAGAGAAGGGUGGAAAAUCACUCCAUGCUGGUAAUGGUCAAAGUGCUGAGUAGAGCUCGGCACCCGGCCGGGGAUCCUGGGGGGCCUGCAGGACCUGCUGCCACAAUAGCAGGCGCCAGGUAAAAAUUCAAGACACAGAAUGUGGGAGUAGACGUGGGAUGGGAGCAGGAUUACAGGACGAGUCCCCUGCAGGGCUGUACAGCUGAGCGAGGCGGUGAAGAGCCAUGUUAAUCCCUUGAAAAAUAGCUGGAUGUAUUAGGAAAAGCCUUGGGAAAUCUACCAAGAGCUGGAAGGUUACAGGGCGUUGCUGUGCUGGUGUCGUGUGUUGCUAAAGAACAGCCUGAAAAAGGCCUUAAUGCUAAAAUUCUAGGGACAAUAAAAGCAGGCUGCCAGCCACCCAAAUGUAGGCUGCAAACAAGUAGGGGAAUAUAUGGGGUCCCCUUGGAAAUGACUGGAAAUAGAGCAGGUAGAGGUGGGGACCCAGGGCAAGUCAUGUGAAUAAUUAGUGGGAGGGACGUGAGAGCAAACCGUCCACAGCUGUGCAAAUUGCAUUUAGAAGAAGGGCUUUAUUUGCCAGGGUUACACUAGGCUAGGCGAUGUUUUGGAUGAAACCGUAUAUUCUGUUCCCCUUUGAGCUGUUAUAAGUGCUGAAAGUCUGGAAACAUGGCAAAUGCAAAGCUGGUGGGAAGAUGCGGAAUGAGCAGCACGUCAGAGUGGUGAAUUCAAUUCAAAGGGAGGGACCUGGCCGGCUGCGUGUCAGCUUUAAACACUCGUUAAGACACAAGUUGGGCUUGGAGAUGUCUAAGAGGAGUAUUCGUAACAGCGCUUUCACCUGGGGACCCGUAAAUCUCUCCAGCGGCUGCCCUCUGACUUGCUUCGGCGCAAGGUGAAACAUUUCCAGCUUAUGCAGCCUCUCCUUGAAAGUCAAUCCUGACUCCGCCGCUAAUGGCUUCGACUACCCACCGCUGGUGCUUUUCCUUCUCCGAUGUCUCCUUCUCUAAGGUGCAACAGUUGAUGACACCAGCAUCAAAGCAGCAGAGGAGAGUGCUCAUGCUAACACGCAAGGAACUGCUAGGGAUACGCUCAUUAGCACGAGAGCGCACGCACCCAGGCCUAACCCCCAGCAGUGCGGGAAAAAAAAAUUUAAAACAAGCCUGUUUGGAAAUAUAUUUUCUGUAGCUUUUUAUUUUACAUGGGGAAACUAACAACACAGGCUGCCCCUAAAGUGCAAAAGCAGAACAGAAUAUUUUACUGCAAACAGCAGGCAGUUUUUGAGCUCAUGAGAUUAAAAUGCAUAAUCAGGAUUCAAGUAAAGAGACUGGACCUAUCCAGAUAAUGAGAACAACCAGAAUUACAUUAGAAGGUUGUUUUUAAAAUCCCUUGGAAGGGCUACAAUGUGGUCUAGUGGCUAGAGCAGCGGACUGGCGAGCAGAGAGUUAUUCUCAGCACUACCACUGGCCUGCUGGGUGACCUUGGGCAAGUCACUUCCACUGCCCCGUGCCUCGGUUUCCCCAGCUGUAAAGGGGGUAAUGAAGCAGACCUGCCAUUGUAACCGCUUUGAGAUUUACGGAUGAAGAGAGCUAGCUAUUUUUUAAAUGCUCCUGCUUCAAGGCAUAAGCUAACAGAGGGGUCAGGAGGAAAUGUCUCCUAUAGGGAGGUUAUUCCAGUAUUGGCCACUGGGGGUAUCCUUGACCCCUCCUCCAGAAUGAGCGGGACUUGGCCAUUCCUGGACACAGAACAAGAUGGGCUUCUGGGCUGGCACUUCCUCCGGCUCUGUCCAUUUAGGUAGGGGGACCAGAUGUCCCAUUUUUAUAGGAACAGUGUUCUUUUUUGGGACUUUUUCUUAUAUAGACACCUAUUACCCCCCCACCCUGUUUUUUCCACAGGUGCUGUCUGGUCACCCUACAUUUAGAUCUUUACACCACACUCCUUGCUGAAUUUACGGGCACUCCAGUUUGGAAGUGGGACACAGCACAGGCAUCAGGCCUCAGCCACAGGCAUUGCAAGAUCUGGCGGCAGAUUCGAUCGGCGUUCAUGAUUUGCGCUUUUCAGCUACUGGCAUGUUUGUAGCCAGGGCAUCGUUUUGGGUGCACGGAGGGCACCGGCAUCCCCAAGACUUGAGUUUAUGACCCUACUUCUUGGUAUUUAGAAAGAAGAGUUUAAAAACAAAAAAAAAACCACAGGGACAUCAAUCAGACCAGGGAUCAUCCCGCCUCGUGUCCUGUGUCCAACACGGGGCGGUAUCAGCUGCUUCAGAGGAAGGUGCAGAAGGUUGCUGUGGAAUAACCUGCCCCGGGGACAAGGAAGAAAUGUUCCCUGUUCCCGUCAGAGUGAGACGUUCUUCCUGACCCCAUUAAUCAGCAUUUGGCUCGUGGCCUGAGGCGGAAAGGGUUUAAAUAUAGAGACUCUUGUAUUUUAGAAGACUUUACUAUUCUAACUUGGCAUUUCCUUGUUCUCUAGCUAAAUGUCCAGUCCUUCCUUUGAGUCCUGCUCAGCUCUUGGCUUCAGCGAGGUCUUGUGGCAAUGAGUUCCCCUGACUAAGCAGGUACUGCCUGGGGAAGAAUAUUCUGCUGUGUCACUUUUAAAGUAUCCUGCUUUUGAAUUUCA